UGAACGCUGGCGGCAUGCCUUACACAUGCAAGUCGAACGGCAGCACGGGUGCUUGCCCCUGGUGGCGAGUGGCGAACGGGUGAGUAAUACAUCGGAACAUGUCCUGUAGUGGGGGAUAGCCCGGCGAAAGCCGGAUUAAUACCGCAUACGAUCUACGGAUGAAAGCGGGGGACCUUCGGGCCUCGCGCUAUCGGGUUGGCCGAUGGCUGAUUAGCUAGUUGGUGGGGUAAAGGCCUACCAAGGCGACGAUCAGUAGCUGGUCUGAGAGGACGACCAGCCACACUGGGACUGAGACACGGCCCAGACUCCUACGGGAGGCAGCAGUGGGGAAUUUUGGACAAUGGGCGAAAGCCUGAUCCAGCAAUGCCGCGUGUGUGAAGAAGGCCUUCGGGUUGUAAAGCACUUUUGUCCGGAAAGAAAUCCUUGGCCCUAAUACGGUCGGGGGAUGACGGUACCGGAAGAAUAAGCACCGGCUAACUACGUG
rnacentral:rRNA from 1 species